GAUGAAGAACGCAGCGAAAUGCGAUACGUAAUGUGAAUUGCAGAAUUCAGUGAAUCAUCGAAUCUUUGAACGCAUAUUGCGCUCUUUGGUAUUCCGAAGAGCAUGCUUGUUUGAGUAUCAGUAAACACCUCAAAAGAUUUUCAUUUUUGAAAUGAUUUUGGACUUGAGCAAUCCCAACACCAGUCUUCACGGAUCGGCGGAGGGUUGCUUGAAAUGCAGGUGCAGCUGGACAUUCUCCUGAGCUAAAAGCAUAUCUAUUUAGUCCCGUCAAACGGAUUAUUACUUUUGCUGCAGCUAACAUAAAGGGAGUUUGACCAUUUUGGCUGACUGAUGCAGGAUUUCACAAGGGUCGGUAAAACGAUUUUUGUAAAACUCGAUCUCAAAUCAAGUAAGACUACCCGCUGAACUUAAGCAUAUCAAUAAGAGGAGGA
rnacentral:misc_RNA from 1 species